rnacentral:lncRNA from 1 species
GGCAGACUAUGACAAAAAUGCAUAUUUUAAUGUAGUAGGCAAACAGAAGACAUAAUAAAAGCAGUUAUAGCUAACAAGCCAAUAGAGAAGACAGAAUGUUAAACUAAAAAAAGCUUAAUUAACCCCAGUAAAGUCAGUAAUACAGGAAGAAAGAACAGAAAAAAUAAGUAGAAAAUAAGAAUUACAUUAAAUAUAAACAAACUAAACAUGUUGUUUAAAAGGCAGCAAUUGACAGAUUGUAUAAAAAAGCAAGACCCAUCCCUAUGCUGUUUAAAAGAUAUACAGAGACACAACAGAUUGAAAGAAUAGGAAGAAAAAUAUAUACCAUGCAAAUACUAAGCCUAAGAAAAUUGGUGUUAUACCAGUUUAUAACUGAUAGGCUGUAUUAAAAUCAUGCAAGGAGCAUUAUUAGAGAUAAAAAUGGUCAUUUCAUAGUGAGAGGCUAAAGUUUGGUCUAAGCAUUUUUAUAAAGGAUUCUGAAUUUCAGGCAGGUUGGUGAACAUUUGCCUAAAACACCUGCUUUGUGUUUGAGGCUUCUAUUUUUUAAAUGAGGUCAGUUUCUGAUAAAGUUUUGCUGUGCCCCCACCCAAAUCUCAACUUGAAUUGUAUCUCCCAGAAUUCCCACGUGUUGUGGGAGGGGCCCAAGGGGAGGUAAUUGAAUCAUGGGGACUGAUCUUUCCCGUGCUAUUCUCAUGAUAGUGCAUAAGUCUCAUGAGAUCUGAUGAGGUUAUCAGGGGUUUUUGCUUUUGCUUCUUCCUCAUUUUCUCUUGCUGUUGCCAUGUAAGAAGUGCCUUUUACCUCCUGCCAUGAUUCUGAGGCCUCCCCAGCCAUGUGAAACUGGCCCUUCCAUCUGCCCAUGCUGCCCCCAUCUCCUGAUUUGUGAAAUUCAUCAGGUGUGCACCCUUCUAAUGGCUGCUCCGAUGAAAACAGUAAAAACCCAUCAAGCCAGACCAAGAGGAGUGACCUACUUAUAUCAGAUUGUGUUAACUUUCUGAGAAGAGACAGACUCAGACCCAGAGAGGAGAACACCAUGUGGAGAUGGAGGCAGAGGUUGGAGUGAUGCACCUACAAGCCAAGGAACACUGUGGAUGGCAGCAGCUGCCAGAAGCCAGGAGAGAGGCAUGGAGCAGGUGCUCCCUCAGAGUCACCAGCAGGAACCAACCCUGCUGACACUUUGAUUUCAAACCUCUGUCUUCCAGAACGGUGAUAGAAUAAAUUUCUGUUGUUUUAAGCCAUCCAAGUCUGUGGUAAUUUACUAUGGCAGCUCUAGGAAACUAACACUAGUGUAGGAUAAAAAAUUUUCUCAACUCUGUCCCCUUGUUUUCUCUCAUUAUGAUGCCUAUCACUGGCCGGACCCAACUGGAAGCUGGAAAGCAAGGGAACUGUGAUGUGGUCCCUGGAGGUCAGCCUCUAGGUGCAAUGCAGAGCAGAGAAUGGAUGGAGGGUGACUAUAAAUGGAGAAUAAUCCAGGCUUCUAUCUUCUUCAAGUUCAGAGUCAGGUGGAAGAUGACAUGAACCCCAAAGGCUCUGGAGAAACUGCUGUCUCGACCCCUCUUUUCCACCCCUUGCACCUGGUUCUGUUGUGAACACAAGCAGGCUGAGAACACAGCUUGUUCCUCAAAACUGCAUCUUGGACAAGAAAUUGACUUUCCCCGGGGAACAAUGUUAUAAACAGGCGAGGAGUGGUAUGUGCGUGCCGAAGAAAGAGAUGAUGUAGAAGUUAAAAGGCUGGAGAACAAUAAACAUGAAAAGCAGUUCAACGUCAUUUGUAAGCAAGCCAACUCAAGUAAAAAUAACACUGAAAUGAAUUCAUUGCCACCCUUCAGGUUGGCACAGAAGGAUGUGAUGGCUGUCUCCCAGGGCUGGUGAAGGCAGGGGGAAGAAGACUCACUCUCUACUGCUGCAGGACUGGUUGUGGAUUCGGUGAGGCGUAAAGACCCCAGCACAGUGCUGGCUCCCUUUCUCUUCCUGCUCAGCUCCUUUCCCGACAUCUGCAACUUGCAUUGUAAAGCAAAAGACAGGGAAAAGUCAAGGUUCAGCAUCAAUGUCUCAGUGCUGUGCAGUGUUAUUUGCAUAAACCUUCCCAUUCACUGAUGGAAACCCCUGGCAUGUUCAUGCCAAGCAUUCUUAGCAGUACACAUACCUGGGGCAGAUCAAGUGCUAUCAUGAGAAAAUUGACUGCAUUAAAUCACACAGGUCUUAAGGGAAGUGGAAGGGCAGGGUGGGAACUGAUAGCUAAGAACAACAUUUGCACCUUAUGACAAUUGCCUCAUCAUUGUAAUCCCAUUGGGGAAACCUAUACAAAUAUGACUAGUGUAGCUGCAGUGUGUGUUCUGCCCAUAGCUCCUCAGGUAUUUUCACCAUUUCCACCUGUGCCAACCUGAUGUCUGGUAACUGAUACUUUCAUCUUUGUUGUGGUUUGCCUUCAGAGUACAGAAAACCCCUUUGUCCCUGUAAACAGCCAGCAGGAAGUGCCUAUGAAUUAAUCACGCUUAACCACUGACAAGUGGUUUAUGAGUGUUGGUCAAGAAUAUUCAGCUCCCUGGCCAAAAUAAUUCUGAACCCUAUUUUGUGCUAUUUACCAGAGCGCCCCCAGGGGAUUAAGCUUUAAUCUUCCACUGUUGUAGCUGGCUGAAUAAUGGUUGCCUUCCCCUCCCAUACCACUUGCCCUCCUUCCUACCCCUGUUCCUUGCACCUCCCUAUAGGUGGCUUGUCCUCAGAGACUUGGCUCAAAGUCUGCUUCUGGGGCAAUAUAAACUAAGACAAGUGGCAAGCGAGGCCUGCUUAGCCCAUGUUUUCCAGAUAUACAUUUUGAGACUCAGGGACUGGGCUAACUUUGGUCACUUGCUCCUUGUUUUUUUGUGUUAAUCCAUCACCAACAGUUGCACAGCUCAUUCAUAACAUCCACAUAAUGAAAUCAUGUAUCCAGCAAGGGUUGAUAGGUGUAAAUUAUUAACAGUUAUUAAAUACUUUUAUUAUACUCACUUAACUACAGCAGAAAAUGGGGAACUAAGGAUAAGUAACUUGUCAGGAUCACACAGUAGGUGAAGGAGCCGGAUUUCAAACCCAGCACCUAUAUUUUGAACCCCCAUUUGUAAUGACUGUACCAUACUGUACCCUUAAUAGAAUGAUGCCUGCUCUACUGUUUUGUGUCAAACCUUAUUGCCAUUCUUCUUAUAAGUCUUUUGUUUCAUGUAAGUGAACAGAGAAAUAAACAUACAGGCCCAUGGGGAUGUAGAUGGCCAAGUGAGAGGGAGGCUAAAUAGGCAGAGCUCUCUAGAGUUCCCAUCCCUUUUCAACCAAGAAAUUCCAUAUUCAUAUGUUAUAUGAGUACAUUCUCUAUAGGAUGUCACAGGGUACUGGGGAAGUGUUUGGCAGCCACCAGUGUGGUAAGACAUGACCUAUUUUGCACUGUAGCUCUGCGGGGACUCAGGUGUGGAAAUAGAGUCUUCGGAUGGGGGUGUGGGAUCACUAGGAAGCCAUAGGAGGAGCAGGAGAUGAGGUUACUUGUAUCAGAGACUAAGGGACAUUCAGAGCAAGAGAGGCUGGUGGGUUUAAAGAGAUAUUUG